rnacentral:rRNA from 1 species
AGCAGUAGCCGCGGGAAUACAGAGGGUGCGAGCGUUAAUCGGAUUUACUGGGCGUAAAGCGUGCGUAGGAGGCUUCUUAAGUCGGAUGUGAAAUCCCUGAGCUUAACUUAGGAAUUGCAUUCGAUACUGGGAAGCUAGAGUAUGGGAGAGGAUGGUAGAAUUCCAGGUGUAGCGGUGAAAUGCGUAGAGAUCUGGAGGAAUACCGAUGGCGAAGGCAGCCAUCUGGCCUAAUACUGACGCUGAGGUACGAAAGCAUGGGGAGCAAACAGGAUUAGAUACCCCUGUAGUCCCUGUCUCUUAUAC